rnacentral:lncRNA from 1 species
GUCUCCACUGGAAAAAAAGAUCUUGGCUUUGAUUUGUUGGAGAAACUGUUACCAGAAAAACAGGUCCCGAUCCCGACCCCAAAAGAGUAUUCUUGGAUCUUGCACAGGAAGGAAUUAAAGCCUCAUUUGGCCACAGGCCCAGUGUCAACACCAGGGGGCGCCACAGACCAUGAAGGCACCGUGCAGCUGGGAUUGUUUGUGGUCGGCUACUGGGUCCCUGACUUAACCAGGGGAGCCAAGACCCUGUAGCCAAGUGGCCUGGAUUCAACCUGCAGCUCAGGUCUUACUGACACUUCUCCCCCUGGUGCCUCAGUUUCUUAAUCUGUGAAAUGGUGAGGACAUUACAGCAUUUACCUCUGGGGCGGGUUUCUCAACAGCAGCACUAUUAACAAUUUGGGACAGAGAAUCUUGUGGAGUGGUCUGUCCUGUGCAUUGUGGGAGGUUUGCCAGCAACACCCCACUCACCCCCUCCCACCAAUCCCCAUGUGACAACCGAAAAUGUCCCAGGAUUUUUAGGUCUCCCUUGGGUCUAGAAGCUGCACUUAGGCAUUUUCCCACCUGACACUUGAGUUCAUCUCUGCUUUGGUCCACAUAAGGCCACUUUAAAAAAAUGUUGUUUCUUUAAAGAUUCUAACCAUCUUUUAAACAAAUCCAUUUUCUUCCUCUAUUUCUGCAUUCAGUUAAUCCUUCCAAACCCUUUGUUUAGUAUAUCUUGAAAUGUAUCAAUUCCUGUUCUAGUAAUUAACAUAUGUGACUUGCAUGAUAUCUGCUAUGACCCUUAGUAGAGCUCUGAUUCCUUUAGCACAGGGAAUGUGUUCUCGAUUCUGCUCUGGAUGAUGUAAAUCAAUUUAUUUUACUUUACUUGUCUGGGAUGUUGCUCCUCAUCUGUAAGAUGUAAAUGUGGAUAUGGCUUGGAUUACUAAGUGGUUUUAUUUCUUAAUUCACCUGACAUUUGUUGUGUGCCUGCUGCAAGUCAAAUACAUGGCAUGGUAUUGUUUCCUUGUUCACACCACAGCAAAUGAGAAAAUGAGACAUUAUAGCCAGGUGUGGCGGCACAGGCUUGUGGUCCUAGCUACUCGGAAGGCUGAGGCAGGAGAAUUGCUCCAGCCCAGGAGUUUGAGGUUACAGUAAGGUAUGAUAUCACCAUUGCAUUUCAACCUGGGCAACAGACCCUGUCUCUGAAAAAAGGGAAAAAGACCUUGUGAGCUGUCUACGUGUACUCUAUGUCUCAGGAGACUCAUAUCCUGUAAUUUUUCUAAAUGGCGUCUCCAUGUGGUCUUUCAUGAAUGUUUG